rnacentral:tRNA from 1 species
CCCCUGGUGGCUGAGAGGGUAAAGCAUCUGCCUGUGAUGCCUGUGAUGCAGGAGACCCAGGUUCGAUCCCUGGGUCGGGAA